rnacentral:rRNA from 1 species
UACGAAGGGGGCUAGCGUUGCUCGGAAUUACUGGGCGUAAAGGGCGCGUAGGCGGGUCGUUUAGUUAGAGGUGAAAGCCCAGGGCUCAACCCUGGAAUUGCCUUUAAUACUGGCGGCCUUGAGUAUGGCAGAGGUGUGUGGAGCUCCGAGUGUAGAGGUGAAAUUCGUAGAUAUUCGCAAGAACACCAGUGGCGAAGGCGGCUCACUGGCCCGAUACUGACGCUGAGGUGCGAAAGCGUGGGGAGCAAACAGG